rnacentral:lncRNA from 1 species
UUUUUGUCUGUCCUUGAUUUCUUCUUUGACAUCUUCUCUUCCCCCAUUAUCUUUUACUCUAUCAAACCUGAUUUUACCCCCUGUAUAAAAAUGCAAAAGCCAUAGUCGUUUACUCCUACACACCCUUAGCAUUUGCUGGGUGUUUGUCUCUUUGGUCUCUUGAGCCUUAGAUAUCUCUAGGCCCCAUUCUAGCUCCCAUGAGCAAUUUCACAUCACUAUGGACAUGACCUCUAUGAAACUGGCUAUGGUACUCUGGGUUUUCAAUGUACAAUUCUAUUUCCCUUCCUGUAGUGGAUGCUGUGGGGCACCACCUCCUUGAGGACCAAGGCACUCCAGCUGCCAGGAAUUUGGCUGCUAACCUCACACAGCUGAGCCUUCCAUGAAAAUUGCUCUCUGCCAAAGAGAACUUCCUAGUCCAAGGUCAUGUCUACUCUCCAGAGAUGUGACUGGAGUGAUUUGCACCUGGAUGCCUAGACUCGCCAUCUGCUGAAAGACUGCUCAGAAAGCCCUCCCAUGCAUUCCCCUGCUGCAUACCAGCCCACUCUGCCUGCAGCUGCUGUCUGCAGGACUUCAUAUCUAUGCCACACUGUGUAAAAGCUGUGCUUCAAGAAAUCACAAAAACGUUUUCCUGCACCUACUACACAGCCUGAGUGCGGCAUAAGUUGACCUUGCUUGCUAAGAAAUGGGGCAAGAAAUGCUUUUUUGUGUGUGUCAUGUCUGUUUGUUUUUCAAUUAAGAGAGGAAAGCAUUAGGCAGAUGGAAUGUACAUGUGAGGAUGAGGAGACAGAAAACAAGUAGCCCUUUCCAUCAAGAUAGAGGGUUUUCUGGGGUUGCUGGCUGUUGAAUGUCACUCCUGAUUUCUCUUUCCAAGGCACUGUACCACCAGCCUACUGAGAUUGUGUGGGAGCUUUCAUGGGGGUUGUAUUUCACUGAUGAAAAUAAAU